AACGAACUAAAAUUUAAAAAAAUCACAUUUAAAAAUGGGGCCAUACAGCCACCAUAUUGUUUUUUUUUUUAAUAAUUUAUA